UUAACAUACGGACCGUGUAUCUACUCAGCAAUUUCACUCGCUCAGUGGAGGAUCAUCUCUUUGUCCU
rnacentral:pre_miRNA from 1 species